rnacentral:tRNA from 1 species
UAGUAUUGAAGUAAAUAUUUUACAUUUAGUUUCGACCUAAAAUUAGAUUUAAAUAUCCUUACUUU